GUUUGACCUCAAAUCAGGU
rnacentral:rRNA from 2 species